rnacentral:rRNA from 1 species
UCACCAGACUCCUACGGGAGGCAGCAGUGGGGAAUAUUGCACAAUGGGGGAAACCCUGAUGCAGCGACGCCGCGUGAGUGAAGAAGUAUUUCGGUAUGUAAAGCUCUAUCAGCAGGGAAGAAAAUGACGGUACCUGACUAAGAAGCCCCGGCUAACUACGUGCCAGCAGCCGCGGUAAUACGUAUGGAGCAAGCGUUAUCCGGAUUUACUGGGUGUAAAGGGAGCGCAGGCGGCGCGCCAAGUCUGGUGUGAAACCCCGGGGCUCAACCCCGGGACUGCAUUGGAAACUGGCGUGCUGGAGUGUCGGAGGGGCAGGCGGAAUUCCUGGUGUAGCGGUGAAAUGCGUAGAUAUCAGGAGGAACACCGGUGGCGAAGGCGGCCUGCUGGACGACAACUGACGCUGAGGCUCGAAAGCGUGGGGAGCAAACAGGAUUAGAUACCCGUGUA